AAUAUUUAAAAGACGAAGAAGCAGCUGCAGCAGCCCUCAGUUGGUCCCUGUGUGCCUCGAGGGUAACAUCGUAAUUUGAGCUGGUCUACUUUCAGCAAGUGAAACCAUUCCUAGAUUGAACUCCACUGGGCUCAAAGAUCUACAGAAGGAAGGCAAGCCACUCACAAACUGGACAUUAAUCAGGUACUGGUCUUCAGGCAGACAAGAUCUCCUUUUUAUAACAAUGUUGUAAUGUCAUUUUCUUGUAUUUUAUUACAAUGUUUUCGGCUUAAUCUCCUGUAUUUGCUUUAACUAAAUAAAACUCUGCAUCUUAAUUUGUGACAUGA